UUGCUAGACUGGAAGCUCUCAGAGGGC
rnacentral:piRNA from 1 species